rnacentral:lncRNA from 1 species
UCUACAUAUACUUAACACUUAUUUUCACAGCUUUGUUUAUUUUCACUAAUUACUUUUCACAGAUAAUCAAUAUGCGUUUCCAAGCCUUUCGGCUAUGUUUGGGUCUUCUGUUCAUCUCAAUUAAUGCAGAAUUUAUGGAUGAUGAUGUUGAGAUGGAAGACUUGGAAGAAAAUUCUAAAGAGAUUGAUGAUAAUGAAGGUGAACUUUCCACAGAGAUAAAAUAUAAGACACCUCAACCUAUAGGAGAAGUAUAUUUUGCAGAAACUUUUGAUAGUGGAAAGUUGGCUGGGUGAGUAUUCAUUUAAGAGAAUGUUUUCUUUGAUUUGUUAGCUUUUUUGAAGUUAUUAGGUUUUGGCCUAUGAAAAUUACCUCUACUACAGAUCUAUAUAAAUUUUAAAAUACUUUAAUUGACAUUGUAAAUCAGUACU